GCAGUCCAGAAACAUACACAGGCGAUUCAUUAAAAGUAAAAGGGCAGUUAUAGAUCAGGCUGCAUCCGAUAUUCUCAUAAGUGAGUGGCAGACAAAGAAAAUUACAGACAAGCAGGCACGACCAAACACAGUGUGACACAGUAGGCCAUUGAACAUCGUGUCAGACGAUCGACGAGAGGGGAGAAUGGAAGUGUUAGCGAUGUAGUACCCGGAUCAGAGGCUGCUGAUAUAGUAUUGAAUGAAUUUCUACAUCCAUAUUUGGUAACCACAGUGAGAGGGAUUAGUCAUGCUGUCAUCAUAUGAGGAACCAUACCAGGAAGUGCAGAUUUCUUCCUCAUGGCCACAUGGAAGUUGACUGUUAAAACUGGUUUCUGGAUAAUAACUCAAGUACUACGUAUUCUAUUCAAACCAAAUUUGGACAUAUGGAUAUGUACAAAGAAGGGAAGAUGCCUAUCAAUUUGAGGGUCAGAAGGUCAAAGAAUCAAGGUCACAGUGCAUAGAAAUUAGGAAAUGCUGAUGCGGGGCAUAUGUUUUACACAUUCUGUAGUUAUAAAUGAAUUAGUAUUGUAUAUAUGCAUAUAUUAUUUAUGUU